CGUUGUGUUAUGGUGAAUACCCUGUAAGAGAAAAGGGCUGCUCCUGGGGCCACAGGGGCGUUUGGAGCAGAAGUGCUGCUUGUCUCAUCUGUCCCCUGCCCAGGGAGGUGUUGGGGUCACCAUCCCUGGAGGUGUUCAAGAGCCAUGAAGACGGGGCACUGAGGGAUGUGGUCAGUGGCACGGUAGGGGUGGGCUGAUGUUUGGGUUUACAGGUCUUUCCCAACCUGGGAAGCUGUGUCUGCUGCCAGUUGGGUGCACUUAUCUUUUCCCUUUCUUGGUAGGUAACUGGGACAGAUAAUUGCCUGGCAGUGUCUGGAAAAUACAUCUUUGUUGGUCUGUGCAUGGGUCUGGCUGCCUUCAGGAUGGUUGACUGUAAGCAGGUCAGUGCUUGGGAUGCAGUCGAGACAGAGGUUUGUGCCAUCAGCUCCUCAGAUUUAGGGAAUGAGUGCCACACUGCACAGGCUGUGGAUGAAAUGGGUGAGUGGGACAUGGGUAUCCCCGCCAUGACUGGUGGGUAGCUGUGCUCUGGAGCUGAAGAGUUGGCAGCUGCUUUAUGGAAGAGUGCUAAACCAGGAGUGUGAGCGUGGCUGGCAGGUUUCCUAGAAAGCCCUUCAGAGAAAGGUGUUAGAUAACAGGUUGUAGGGUGAUAGAGUGGCCUUGGGUUUAGAAAAGAGUGCGGGUUUGGUGUCCUGACUGAAACAGCAAAGGCAGAUGUGGAGCUGAGACUGAAGUGCAAUAUAUUUUAGGAAUACAUUGGACCAGAAAGAAAAAAGCAUUGCUAAGUGUGACCUCUUGCCUCUGCUUUGUUUCAGCAUCUGUAAUUGCGUAGUCCUGUGGUAAAUAGGUUUGUUUCUUGAUUCGUCUGAAACCUGUCAUUUCUGGCAGAGAUGGCCUUCAAACUCCAUUAUCCAUCGCUGUGUACAAUCGAGAGCUCGCUGGUGUUGACAUAAGGAAGCCAAUGAAAGUUUAUUGCUGGAAGCAGUGGGAUAUUCUUCCACGUGCCCAGGAAAAAAAAUAUAGCCCUGUUCACACCCCAGCAUGUUAUAACAGUCCUCUCUCGAGAGCACGGCUGCCAUCUGUUCACUUUCCUUCUGCUAAUUCUGUAUUUCCAUUGCAGGGCUUGUUUGGCUCUUCUGCUUUCACAAGGAAAUCUUCCUGCUCAUUAAAAUCCUAAAUGAGGUGGUAAGUACUGAGUCAGUUACCACCAUCAUAGUAUGGCUUGGGUUGGAAGGGACCUCAAAAUCACCCAGUUUCAACCCCUCUGCUGCAGGCAGAGUUGCCAACCAUUAGAAACUGGGCAAGGGCAGGGAAAUAAUGUUGUGAAGAGCACUAAUUGCCCAUGGCAGAGUUUCCUGAGGUCAGCAGAGAGCCUAUUCACUAAGCCAGGAGCAUGCAGGUAGUUUUGUGAUGUGAUGUACACUACCUGAGUGCCAAACUCAUUUCUGAAUGCCAGCAUCCCAGAGAUGUAUCUGCAGCAAAAGCAGCUGCUGGAGGUCCCUGAUACCUUCCAUAUAGGACCAGAGGAAUGAGCCUGCCUCUAGACUAGUCUCAGGAAAGUGAUUUCCACUGCUUUUCAAAUAUUCCAAGCAUUCUAGGUUCCCGGGAAUCCUGUUUCUAACCCUCUCCAUUCCUCCUCCAGCUUAAAGAGUUGCUUCUGCCACUCCUUGUCCUCUCCAAAAGGCCUGGAGUGGAUCAGCGCUGAUCCCAAAAGUUGGCUGACUGGAACUGGUCAGUGCAGUUCCUUGUGCCAGAAGGCUCUAUGAAGCAGCUUUCCUUCCUGUGGUGCUCAUGGGACACUGGGAGGCUGAGCUGAAGGCUGCGAUGUCAGUCUCAGUCAUGCAUACGAAUCCUUACGUGAGAGGUAGACUGCACGGAUCUCACAGGGAUUUUGUAUUUUAAAAAAUAGCCACACGUUGUUUUAAGGAUGUAAGACAACAGAGGCUGCUUGCUUGAGAGACCUUUCCUCCUUGCUUCCAGUUGCUCAACAGGGUUUCCCAAUGCAAGCAGCUCAGAAGUUUGGCUGGAGGUCUGCAGAUUGCCUAAGGAUUCCUGGCUGAAGAAGGCAGGACGGAGUUCAGGGGCCACAGCAAGGCUGGCUUUCAGGGAGAGGAGUCAAGCUGGACAUUUGCAGUACAAAAUGGUUCCCCACUCUCUGUGCUAUUUCUUCUUAUAGCCUCUUGCCUACAGGUCUUUCCCCAAGCCUUGCUCUUGCGGGCAGUGACAGCAACAUACAGGCUGAACGAGUCUGGCAGCCCAGGGGGAUGUGUCUCUGCAGCUGCUCCAGCCACCCAGCCCACAUUGCACAAGGCCUUUGUGCUCCUGGGACAUGCGUAGUCUCCCAGGACACGCUUUCCAGCAAGAUUCCUUUGGUCCCAGGGCCAGCAUUCCUGCUGCCCCUCCCUGAAACUGCCAGCUCCCUUCCCAGCAACGUUGCCUCAUCCAAGGAGGCCCUGUGCAAAGGUAUUCCCAGAUCUUCUCCUUUGUGUCACUAGGGGAAGGUGAAGGAGCAGGCAGGGAAUCAGACCUGGUACCUCCAUUGGAGAGUCUGGUCCUGGUAGGGGCAGUGACUUGGGUUCAUCUUUUAGAUUGCCCUGGAGAGGAGCCUGGUGGGAUCAUAGCUGAAUCUACCCUGGCACAGAGAGCUUGUUGGAACUGACCACUGCCACUUCUGUUCUUUGGCAGAGAAGUCUGGAGCAGCACAGGGAUGGUUCUGCAGAGAUGGUAACUGGCCUCAGUGAAGGUGCUGGGCUGUUCUGAGGAAUUUCAAAUGCUGAGCCAAUGCUAAGCCUUCUCCUGUGUCACUUUUACCUUGUUAGGUUUCACUUCUAUCCACCUGAGUUCUCACCUCUUCCUUCUCAGACAUGGUUGGUUAUUUAGCCAGACCUUUUCUGUUCAGCCCAGUCCUAGGUGUGUGUUAGUGUGUGGGUGGUGGUGGGGACACAGCAGUGCAGGUCCCCUUAGGAUUUUCCAUUCCCAGCAAAGCACAUCUAUGACCUGCAGUCCUAGGCUCUCUGAAGUCAAAUCUUUUCUUGCACUCAGCAGCGCUCUGCAACCUUUAGUCCUGCUUCUGCAGCUUUAUUUUCUUGUGGACUCUUCAUUAUUCUGUUGCAGGAGUCUCCCUGACGACAGAUAAAGUCAAUGUAAAGCUGAGUCUCCCAGUGCUGCUGCUGAAAGUGAAGCCACCCAAACCCAUUGCAGAGAGGAUGGGCGGGGAGCUAACCUGGUACUGAGAUGAUGUCAGAAUGCCUCAGAAAGGCAAGGGGCAAAUUUCCAGAGCCUUUUGGAUGCCUUGAAGAAAGCAGAUGAUGGCAGCAUGCUGGGUUUGGGGCACAGACACCUGAUUGAGGACUCCCAAUGGGAUAAGCGGGAGGCAGUUUUCCACAGCACUUAUCAGGGGUAUCUGGAGGUCGAGGGUGAGAAUGAGAGCAAAGAUGAGGUCCCCAGGUGAGUGGGAGUCCCAGUCAGCAUUCUGUUCCAUGGAUCGUCAGUGUGGGACGUGUGAAGUGCAGAUGGAAGCUUCUGACUUGGUUCUACUGCUUUCACCCUAAGGUUUCAGGACAGAGGCUUAGCAUCAUUCCAGAUCCUUUUGCAGUUCUACCUACUUAUCAAGGCCUUUCUUUUACAUAUAUUCCUUCCUUCCUUACUCAGAUGUGCUACUUUUCAUUUUCUCCUGCCCGGCUGGAUUCUGUAGAUGGAACCAGGCAGGUGAUCCAACUGGGCUAAAUGUUGAUGACACGUGAAGUAUGUCACUGCAUGACACCGAGCUCCAGUUAGAAAUCACUGACUCUGGGUUGGGUUGACUCUGUAAAUUCCAUCUCCGAGAACAAAAGCCUGGCUUAAACUGUCAACCCUACACCAGCAUGGAGUCAAACAAACUUUGCUCCUUGGUUUAAAAUAAAUGAGAGAGUACAUAGGCAAAGAUUAAAAAAAAAACACACCGCUUCUCCCAUUGUGGAGCUUUUAGUGCUGUGUACAGUGGAGUCUUUGUGUUUGGUAGGAGCACGCAGGGCCAGGAAGUCCAGCAUACCAUGCACGUGGCAGACAGAUGAGGCAGCCUCUGGUAGAUCUCACUCCGGACAGACAAGGUGUUACAGUGGCUGGGUCCAGCCGGGAGGCUCAGAUUUCUUUUGGUAGAGGAUUUUCUACUAGCUUCACCCGGAUAGCUGUGCCAUGCCAUACAGCUUGGUUUAGCUAGGAGUUGGUCCCAGCCCUGAAAUCCAGUGGUUGUGCCAGAACUACAGGUAUUCCCGCUCCAGGGCUGAUGCUCAGCUGGCUGGGUCUCUGCCAGGUACCCAGGGCACUUCUUUCUUGUUCCUUCUGUCCUUGACAGAGUAACUUAAACCUGGAAGACAGACUAAGGGUUUCCUGCCAUCUUUCUAUCAACUCUGUUGCUCUGGGGACUGUGGUUUCCUGCUUGCAUGGCAGACAGGGACUUGCAUCUCCAGCAUCAUUCCCAGGCAGGUUUUGGGGGCUCUUACCUGGAAGGAAGCAGGCUUUGUUUCCAUAGGGAAGGGGAUUGGCUGGAACCUCACACCAGCCCCUUUGCCACAUAUUGCCACUGUCAUUAUUACGACCCGCUGGUACACAAGACAUGUCAAGCAGUGGCAUAAUCCUGAGUCAGGCAAAUGUCUGAGAGGGGGGGAGCACAAAUUCUCCCAGCAUAACCUUGUGGGUUAAUCUAUAAGAGUUGCUCAGACCUGACUGGCUGUUAUGUAUUGGUACGUCUCUGCUAACAGUCCUCCACUGUUGUUGUCUCUGACUGAGAGCUGAGCAGCAGCAGCAGGCAGAUGCAUUGGCACGGAGCAGAGCCAGUCACAGCACCAUCUUCCUUUCUCACUUCAACUCCUACCCACUGAAGGAGGCUUUCUCAGAGGAACCAGAUCUGCCUUUCGAGUCCUUAGAGAACCUACCAUUGAGAGACGUACCAUUUUCUUAAGUGAUUUGUAAGUGCAGAGAUAAGUAAGGUAAGAGCAUUAUUGCAAGCUGUGGUGUCAUGUCCACACGUGUUCUCACCCUGCAGCUUCUCUGGGCUCUUCCGUGCACUGUGACACAGGCAUCUGUCUGCAUAAGGUUGAUGUUCAACUAACUGCACCCCUGCCAGCCACCCAGAACGUGUGUCCCUUCCUCCUCUCCUUUCUGUCCUCCCUAGGCUAACUCACAGCUGUAAGUCUGGGUGCCUGGGGCAGGCCUCUCAUUCCAGGUAGAGAGAGCGUGCUGGUUCUAGGUGAAUCUGUGCAACGUAAAUCACAGUGCAAGACUGUCAGUUAACAAUAUUGCUUAACUGCUGCCUCUUCGUUUGGUCCCCACAGCCAGGCAGAGCUGGGACCUCUUUGUACCACGCUGCUCCCCACCAUUCCUAGGUCAGUUCGAUACUGAAGUAGGUUUGUGUUGUAGGUUUUUUGGUUCGAGGGGCACCCUCAUGCCGGGUGCAGAGCUCAGCAGGCGCACUGGGUUCAUGGUGUCACUAGAUGGCAGUGUGAUAUCUCUUAUUGGGUCACUUCUGCCUUGAAUUCUUAAGCUGGAGCCGGAUCCACAGCGAUAACAUUCUGUUCGUUCUUAUCGCUGAGCUUUAAUUUUCCGAUCUGAAGUGGAACAGAUGGGCACAGGUAUGGCCUUACAGCACUUACUACCUGGAAGGCUUCCCUAAAUUCCUUGUAUCCUGAGUGAAUCCUACGGUGUUAUCCGAUCAGUGGCAGAAAACCCAUCCCAUGCCUUAAUCUUAAGAAGCUGGAAAGGAAGCUCUUGUCAGCAUUAUGCCAGCAGAAGUGGGAGAGUGGCAGGGGCUGUGCUGACAGCCUCCUUCCCUUGUGAGGCAGCAGUGACUGCUAGGAUGCAGGGAGCAGUUAUCUGAGUACUGAGUGGAUGCAGGCAUGAAGAUGGGCAUCUCCGGAGUACAGCGGGGCAGUGACACUGCAGGGUGACUCAGAGCUCACCUGGGCCAAACACAUAGGUCAGAGGCCAUAGAAAGGUGAACCAUCCCUUUGUAUUUUGAGGGCUGUAGUUGCGUGGCAGCACCUUGGUGUUAGCUGCAGAAUACGACUGCUCAGCCCGGAGCUGACAGCAGAACUGCAUUUUUGCCACUGGGCAUCUUUGUUUCUUACGGCAGCCAAGGGAACUUGAGGGGAUUUGGGAGAGGAGACUGAAAAUAUGCAUUUCGAGCAUCUACAAAACAUAUUCGCCUGGCUCCUGGCACUGCAGGGCUGUGACGUUACAGCCACCAACACAGGAGGGGCUGUGUUAGUGUACGUAACAAACAUUUAUACAAAUACCAUGUGAAAGCUUCAGUCUCUUUACAGCUGAUCAUGCUUCCAGGGUGACUGCCUAAUCCACAAAGAAUGUACCAAAGCUGCCAGCAACCAUUCCUGCAAGCUGUAUUUUUUCCAUGCCUCCUGCUGGUGACUCCCCCGAAGGUUCAGCAAUGCAUGGAUAUGUGGGUUUCAGCACAGAGCUAUGCAGGCACCCCCACACCAAGGUCCCAUUUCGGGUUCUCAUCGCGAACUGUCUCAUUUUGCACUGAGUUUUGGUGAUGAUCUUGAGAUCUCAGCUCUUCUGGAGGUAAAGGCAACCAGUCUGGUGUGGAGGUAGGAAACAGAAGCAGCGUCCCAGUUGUUCUGCUGUUUGCAAUGCAAGUUAUUUGAACGUAAGCGUUCCUAUUUGCUGCCUUGGUGGAGGGUUUUGAGAGCUCCAGUAAGGCCCUUUGUGCUGCCGUUUUCCGUCUGCCACGGCUUACAGCUCACAGCUCAUCUGAUUGUUAUGGAUAUCGAUACUGGGCCGCGUGAGCACUUGCCAUCUGCUUCAGUGCAACGCCAAGCUGGUAAGCUCCAGCCACCUCCAAUGCCUGUUUAAGCCGAGCCACCUGGUUUAGCAACGAAGUGAACAAGGAGCGGUCCUCCGUCCUGUGCUCUGCUCUUGCUGAGGUGGCAGUAACAGCUGAGUUAUUUUGUUUCUGUGGCAGUUUAAGAAACAAUGGACCUUCUGCCAUAUCUGGGCAUGGGGGAUUGCUCCAGGCGGGAUUUCCCAUUCUGCGGACAGCCAGCACAAUGAAUACAUGGCUGCUCCACCAGCUAAUUCUUGCUGUUUGCACAAACGUAAAGGGCUUGGGGACCUGAGCCCUCUAAUCACACCCCAUCUGCUGCCUGCCCAGAAUCAGGACAGGGCUUUCCCAGCAUCUGCAGGAGAGGCAGGGCAGGAUCCGCUAAGCAGUGAGAUGUGCAGUGCAGCCACCGGUUUGUGUGCAUUGAUCUCAAGAUGCGCUCGUUUGUUUGCAGUUGGAAGUUGCUCUAAAACCCUAAUCAUGUGCUUGGCCGAGAUAACCAGGAGCUGGCAGGCUGCACAGAGAAGGGAAAACAACAAGCAGCUGCAGGAGGCUCAUGAAGAGCCUUUGUUUUUCCUCAUGACUUCAGUGGGGGAUCGUUUGCUUCCUGCUUCUUUGGAGGGAUACGAGAGAAUUGGUACGAUCAGGGCGUUGGCACGUGUGUUGGUGAUGGAGCUGUGUGCUGAGCUCAUGGCACGUUCUGCAAAGGAUCAGGGGCACCUGCUGGCCUCUUCCAACAAGGAUGCCUCUGCCAGCUCUUGUGUCAUUCCCUUUGCUUCGUGAGCCCCAGGCAACUGUAGAUCUGAGCCGAUUUCGGGCUGUUUCGCUGCUGGAAACUAUAGAAAAGCUUCCAGAGGUAUCGUAAAGAUGACCGUCAAAAGAUGAAACAUAGUUUUCCCCGGGCCAAGCGACAAGCUGAGAGGCACUACAGUCAGGCUCCGUGUUUAAGAAAGGAAAAACAUCACAGCCGGUGGAUUGUGUGCGGGAGGAAGAAGGCUGGGAUCCACAGAGAGGCGCUGGAGCAGCACUGCUCAGCACAGCCUGCCUGCUGCCCAGCUGGGCGGAGAUGGUGUCUGGGGGAGAGGAGCUGCUCUUAAUCUCUCUAUAUGAUCUGCUGUUCUCUGCAAGAAGCCAAAUGUCAGCUUAUUUCUUUGCAUGUGCUGUGGAAGCAAAGGAAAUUGGGCUGAUCUGAUAAGAUUCUGUCACUCCUGAGGGCUAGCUGAGGUUUGGGCUGUUGGGGUGAGCCCUGUUGGUGGGGUUGGAAGGAGUGUGGUCCUGGGUACGUGUGUUCCUUGCACCUACGUUGGCAGCCCUUAUAUCCCCCAGCACCUUGCUAACAUGCAACUUGAAGGCAUCCUGAGGAGGAACGUGCAAAGAGCUCUGUGUCCUGUCUGGGCCGAGCUGUGUCACUGCAGCACACUGGGAUGUACGGUGGGGACUGGAGCAGAGCAGGCCCAGCAACGCUUGUUCUGUUCUCUCUGGAUGGAGGGGCAUAGACAGGGGUAGGGGGAGCUCUAGCUCUUAGAUAUAGGGGAGCCAGGUACUGCAUUCUUUGAGACUAGGCUAUAGCUGGAGCUGUGCUGUUGGGCCAAACUACACAGAUUAACUCUUUAAUCUCCCCUCGUGCUUUGUGCCACGUGUUUCAGUCUAGUUUAACUUUGGUUUUCUGCAAACCCCUUCCAGUUGUCCCAGUCUGU